rnacentral:rRNA from 1 species
ACGGGGGGUGCAAGCGUUGUUCGGAAUUAUUGGGCGUAAAGAGCGUGUAGGCGGCUGAAUAAGUCAGAUGUGUACUCCCUGGGCUAAACCCAGGAAGUGCAUUUGAAACUAUUCAGCUUGAGUAGGGGGGAGGAAAGUGGAAUUCCUGGUGUAGAGGUGAAAUUCGUAGAUAUCAGGAGGAACACCGGUGGCGAAGGCGACUUUCUGGCCCUAUACUGACGCUGAGACGCGAGAGCGUGGGUAGCAAACAG